AUGGCAAAUCCAUUCUCUCAAACGCCCGCGGACACGUCCGCACUGACCGGGCAUCCCUCAAAUGUUGCGCCGCACAUCCACGUACCCGCACAUCUCCUUCUCCCUCUUCCUCAACUCCUCUUAGAGGGGGAGCCUCACCGCUGCCGCCACCAUAGACGUGGUCGCGCCGCUGCCGCCUUCGAGUUCGCCGGCAGCCGCUCAGAUCGGCGGGAUCCGUGUCCCCAAGCCGUCGGCGCCCCCUGCGACUGGCGCUGCCAACCCUCCUCGCCACCAUGCGUGACGACAAUGAACGACAGCGCCGCCAGUGGACCGUGCCGCGACCGCGCCCAGGCCGCUGCGCUGCUGCGUGAGCUGCAGGUCGGCGCGCCCGUGCACGGCACGGUGUUCCGGCGCUUCGCGUCGUGGUUUGUGCAUGGCCUGGCGGACCGGCUGGCCCGAGCGCACCCGCCGGCGUUGGGUACGGCCAGCAUGGCGUUCUGCGUCCCGCGGUCGUCGUGCCUCCAUGGGGCGCGCGACGAGGCGCUCGUCGUGGCGGGCGAGCUGUGCCCGCCCCUCAAUUUCACCUGCUCCGCCGCCCGUGCACGGCACGGCGUUCCAGCGCUCCGCAUCGUGCUUUGUGCAGGGCCUGGCAGACCGGCUGGCCCUGGCGCACCCGCCGACGUUGGGUACCGCCAGCAUGGCGUUCUGCGUCCCGCGGUCGUCGUGCCUCGACGGGGCGUGUGGCGAGGCGCUCGCCGUGGCGUACGAGCUGUGCUCGCCCCUCAAUUUCACCUGCUCCGCCGCGCCGCCCCUCAAUCUCUCCUUCUCCGCCGCGCCGCCCCUCAAUAUCUCCUGCUCCGCCGCGCCACCCCUGACCUUCUCCUGCUCCACCCACGCCUCACCUUCUCCUGCUCCGCCGCGGCAAGAAAGGAAGCGGAGCGUCUGGAUAAGACGCAAUGGGUCUGGACAGCGGGUGGAAUUCAAAUGAGUACGGGGUUCGAGUCGGAGAAUCCUUCGACGCAGACUGAUAUAUAUACGACUACUAAUAUACGGGACUUGCCAAAUAUCGAGUAUAUUUCCCGAGCAGCGUAUUGGCCUACGGGACAAGAAACUCAGAAGAAGGAAGAACACGCCUACGGGACAAGAAACUCAGAAGAAGGAAGAACACGCCUACGGGUCAAGAAAGUUCAGAAGGAGGAAGAUCACGCGCCGACAACAUGUUGGGGUUCGUGUUCCGGCGUCUGCUGCACCGCGGGAUCUUGGCCGGCCGCCGUGUGGCCACGGUGCCACCGCCAGCUCCUCGUCCUCGUCUCUUCUCCAUCAGCCACCUUCCUCAGGGUCAUCGGCCACCGGUCCAACCGACGCUUCUCAUGCCUGAAGUCAACGCAGCGACGCCAUCGUUGGGGUAGGCUGUACUUCUUCCUCGCUUUAAGCGGAUACUACAUCGUUGAUCAACGCAUGAGACAGCAUAAGGAGAAAGCAAUGGACGGUUCCACCAUAGACACUUUCGUGUGUAUGGUGCGUGAGAGAGGGGUGGAGGAGGAAACUAGCAGCCUAUCUCCUCUCCCUACGUUCGGUGUACUUGAUGGCAACAAGAGGUCAACGAUGCCGCAAGCGACGCGGGAAUUGCCGGAUCCGUUGUCCCUCACCGUCAUAGCGUCGUUUCUUUAG
rnacentral:rRNA from 1 species